rnacentral:rRNA from 1 species
GAGUGGAGCCUGCGGCUUAAUUCGACUCAACACGGGAAAACUCACCCGGCCCGGACACUGGAAGGAUUGACAGAUUGAGAGCUCUUUCUUGAUUCGGUGGGUGGUGGUGCAUGGCCGUUCUUAGUUGGUGGAGCGAUUUGUCUGGUUAAUUCCGAUAACGAACAAGACUCAAACCUACUAACUAGACGAUCGAUUUGGGCGAGCUGUUUCCUGCCUCCGGGUAGGAGCGGCACUGCCUCCGUCGGUCGAUAACUUCUUAGAGGAACAAGCGGCGCUCAGCCGCACGAGAUUGAGCAAUAACAGGUCUGUGAUGCCCUUAGAUGUCCGGGGCCGCACGCGCGCUACACUGAAGGAAUCAGCGUGUGUCCUUCCCUGGUCCGGCAGGACGGGGUAACCAGCUGAACCUCCUUCGUGGUAGGGAUCGGGGUUUGCAAUUGUUCCCCGUGAACGAGGAAUUCCUAGUAAGCGCGAGUCAUAAGCUCGCGUUGACUACGUCCCUGCCCUUUGUACACACCGCCCGUCGCUACUACCGAUUGAAUGAUUUAGUGAGGUCUUCGGACUGGCAGUCGCUGCGGCCUCUAGGUCGCGGCAACGCGUCGGGAAGAUGACCGAACUUGACCAUUUAGAGGAAGUAAAAGUCGUAACAAGGUUUCC